rnacentral:lncRNA from 11 species
GUUCAUUUUCCAAAACUUCAGCCUUUGCAUCCCGACUGACCAACCAGAGGUCAAAAGAUGGAAGGAAGUGAUAUCACAAAAAGCGAAUGCAAGGGCGGACGCCAGCAAAGGGGGGCAGGGACCCCCAACGGGGACCCCCAAAGCACAGCCGGACAUCCCUUUCCGAACGGAAGCCCCUCCGACCUCCAAGGGACCCCCGACAGCCCAGCCGGACCCCCGUUUCCUGACAGACGCCCUUCAGAUGGUGACAGGGCCACAGCAAGAGGAGACCCCCACCACACUGAUGCCCUCGGAGCCCCCCUUCACCCCGGGGGCCGCGGUGGGCCGGCCAGGGAGACCCCCCACGCCCCAGCAAGGGCCUGCUCCCAGCCAGCCGGCCCCCCGGGGGUCCUCCUCUCCGUCCCACACCACCCUCGCCAUCGUCAGCCUCCUGGGAAUCGCGCUCGUCUUGGUGGCCGUCGUGGUUUCCCUGGUUUGCCGGAGGAGGAGGAGGAGGCGUCAGGAGGGGCCACUCCACCCUGCUGCCCUCGGUGAGUCCUCUGCCCCCCUUGCAAGCGGGGUCAUUGGGGGAAAGAGACCCCACUGGGUGAUGCGGGGAGUGAGGCCUGCCAUAGCAUCCCUACAGAUGGCCAUCUAAAGUCUCAAUAAUAAUAAUAAUAAUAAUAAUAAUAAUAAUAAUAAUAAUAAUAAUAAUAAUAAUAAUAAUAAUAAUAAUAGGAUCCCAGAGUCAGAAAGGCCCCCCAAAGGACAUCCAGUCCAGAGCUAUUCUGCCAGGCAGGAAGACAAUCAAAACCCUCCUGACAGAUGGCCAUCCAAAGUCUCAGUAAUAAUAAUAAUAAUAAUAAUAAUAAUAAUAAUAAUAAUAAUAAUAAUAAUAAAUAGGAUCCUAGACAUGGAAGAGCCCUCCAAAGGCCAUCCAGCCCAGCCCUAUUCUGCCAGGCAGGAAGACGAUCAAAACCCUCCCAACAGAUGGCCAUCCAGAGUCUCAGUAGUAAUGAUGAUAAUGAUAAUGAUAAUGAUAAUAAUAAUAAUAAUAAUAAUAAUAAUAAUAAUAAUAAUAGGAUCCCAGAGUCAGAAAGGCCCCCCAAAGGACAUCCAGUCCAGCGCUAUUCUGCCAGGCAGGAAGACAAUCAAAACCCUCCUGACAGAUGGCCAUCCAGAGUCUCAGUAAUAAUAAUAAUAAUAAUAAUGAUAAUAAUAAUAGGAUCCCAGAGUCAGAAGGGGCUCCCAAAGGCCAUCCAGUCCAGCGCUAUUCUGCCAGGCAGGAAGACGAUCAAAACCCUCCUGACAGAUGGCCAUCCAGAGUCUCAGUAAUAAUAAUAAUAAUAAUAAUAAUAAUAAUAAAUAGGAUCCUAGACUUAUUUAUUAUUUAUUUACAGCAUUUAUAUUCUGCCCUUCUCACCCCAAAGGGGACUCAGGGCAGAUCACAUUGCACACAUAAAGGCAAACAUUCAAUGCCUUGACAUAGAACAAAGACAGAAGACAAACGCAGGCUCCGAGCUGGCCUCGAACUCAUGACCUCUUGGUCAGAGUGAUUUGUUGCAGCUGGUUGCUCAACAGCCUGCGCCACAGCCCGGACUAACUUGGAAGAGACCUCCAAAGGCCAUCCAGUCCAGUGCUAUUCUGCCAGGCAGGAAGACGAUCAAAACCCUCCCAACAGAUGGCCAACCAGAGUCUCAGUAAUAACAAUAAUAAUGAUCUGCAGGC